GGUAAAUCUCGUGCCAGCCACCGCGGUCAUACGAUUAACCCAAGCUAACAGGAAUACGGCGUAAAACGUGUUAAAGCACUACAUCAAAUAGAGUUAAAUUCUAAUUAAACCGUAAAAAGCCAUAAUUACAACAAAAAUAAAUGACGAAAGUAACCCUACUGCAGCUGAUACACUAUAGCUAAGACCCAAACUGGGAUUAGAUACCCCACUAUGCUUAGCCCUAAACACAAAUAAUUACAAAAACAAGAUUAUUCGCCAGAGUACUACCGGCAACAGCCCGAAACUCAAAGGACUUGGCGGUGCUUUAUACCCUUCUAGAGGAGCCUGUUCUAUAAUCGAUAAACCCCGAUAAACCUCACCAAUCCUUGCUAAUACAGUCUAUAUACCGCCAUCUUCAGCAAACCCUAAAAAGGAACAAAAGUAAGCUCAAUCACAACACAUAAAGACGUUAGGUCAAGGUGUAACCCAUGGAAUGGGAAGAAAUGGGCUACAUUUUCUACCUUAAGAAAAUUAAUACGAAAGCCAUUAUGAAAUUAAUGACCAAAGGAGGAUUUAGUAGUAAACUAAGAAUAGAGUGCUUAGUUGAAUCAGGCCAUGAAGCACGCACACACCGCCCGUCACCCUCCUCAAGUAAAUACAAUGCACUCAAGCCUAUUUACACGCAUCAACUACAUGAGAGGAGACAAGUCGUAACAAGGUAAGCAUACUGGA
rnacentral:rRNA from 1 species